UGUCUACCACAUAUGCCUCACCUGAUGGACCUGAUUCCUCCAGAAUCUAAUUCACCUGCCGUUGAACAUUUUAUCCACAUCGAGGACCCUAACAUCGAGAGUUUGUGCGAGACUAUUGUUAGUAUUACUGAUUAACAUAUCAACGACGAGGCAGCCUCUGUGAUUUUACAUAAGGCCGAUGAGGGUUUGGCAGAGUAGGGGGUACUACCGAAGGAGCUUUCUACAAGCAUGAUGGUAUUGACUUGCGAGACCACUGGAGGUGGCAUUUGUGACGUAUACCUAGUUGGAACGAGCACACAUUUCUCAAGUAACUUCUUGAUUUUCAAUUGUGAUAAAUUGUCUUGUAUUUGUGGCAUUUGGUUCUUGAAAUUUUGGAGGAUAUUAGAGAAAAAGUAUCUAUUAUAGUGAGAACUUUUAACCCUUUUGGAAUUUACUUGAUUGGGGAAUUUGAGUUAGAACUAAAGUAGAUCGCAUGUAUGGAUGCAGGAAUCGUGGAGAGAAGUUCAAGCUAUAAUUAGUUAUUUGAAACCUCAGAGUUGAAUUUUCACAAUGAAAAGAGAAGUGUUCCAUUUUUUACUCCACCUUAGACCCAACCCAUCGUUAAUCAACCUGUUGCAACUUAUGAGGAUGUUGCUAUUGAUGCCUCUCUUGAAUUUGAUGCUUCCUGCUUGAGGGACUUCCUCCAUGUCUUUCUUUGAGGGAAUUGAGAUGUAGAAAGAAGAAACCAUGUCUUUCUUUGAGGCAAUUAAGAUGUGGAAAGAAGAAACUAUUCUCAAGGUUUUCUAAUUGAUUUUCCUAUGUUCUUCUAAUAAUGUUUGGUUUUGUUUGGAGGUCAUAAUUUGCUCUUUAUUGGUUUUUUUCCUUUUCCUCAAAAAGAAUUUGCUAAACAAUAUGAGAUUGUUGUGAAUUCUCAUGGCGAACGUAAGUAAAAUGGUUAUUUGAAGUCUUUAAUAAUAAUUUCGACUUUUUAGCUAAAAGGUAUAUUGCCUUGUUUGACAAUUCUUUUGGUUCAAUUCGGAUAAUUUAAAUUUUUAGCUAAAUAAUCAAAAUGAAUAGGAUAAAAGGAAAAUGGAAAAUGGAGAUAGUUAAGAAAUUGUUAAUGUUUUGUGUUUAUCUUUAUCUUUUUUUUUUUUUUAUGGUUUUGCAGUAUUGGUUGAUGUUGAUUAUGACCCACUGAUUCUCAAAGAACAGAUAACAGAACUAGUGGGGCUCAAAUUUAUUGAUUCAUUGUUUAUGCAAAUGGAGAAUUUGAAUGAACUGAAUGUUUUUGUUAUCUUGACCUUUUUUCUCUAGGAAUUAAUAUGCUUCAAUCUAUACGAUGGGAAAGGAAUCUCCAUUUUGUUUGUUGUUUGGAUUUCUUUUCUCAUACUUCAAGUUGUGAAGAUCUCUUUGCAGGAUCAUACUAAUGUUGGAAGAAUAGUCAAAUUGCUACAAGCACUAUAAUGACAAUCUUCACAAAAGACUGAUGUUUUUGGAUUUGGCAUAUUGGUUCUUGAACUCUUGAUAGGGCAAAAAGCACUUGAUGCUUUCAAUGGUCAAAUUCGAAAGGGAAUGAUCCUCGAAUGGGUAAGUCUCUUUUUUAUAGCAUCUGCUCUAUUAGAAUAUAUGUGAAACUUUUUCAGUAGGCUCAUUAAUUUAGUAUUUCGAUGUAGCUUAUUCUAAUGACUUACCUACAAAUAGUACAAAGGAAGACUAAUGCUCAUAAAAACUCAGAAGACUAAUGCUCGAACAGAGGAAUGAUUGAAGACAUAUCGAGUUGAAAGUGAAGUGAUUGUGUAAAUAGCCAGGCUAUUGUUGAAGGUUGAAGACUGAAUAGACGUUUAGAAUUUCUUGUUAAAGUCUUGUAUUAAGAUCUUGUUUCAUGUACUACUGUAGAAUGUAUAUAUAAAUACAAUAUUAAGAUUUUAUUUUGUGUAUACAAAUGUAAAAGACAAAUAUUAUAGUUUCUAAAAUAAUGUUAAUUUUAUUGA